UACGGAGGGGGCUAGCGUUGUUCGGAAUUACUGGGCGUAAAGCGCACGUAGGCGGCUUUGUAAGUUAGAGGUGAAAGCCCGGGGCUCAACCUCGGAAUUGCCUUCAAAACUGAUAACCUGGAGUAUGGAAGAGGUAAGUGGAACUCCGAGUGUAGAGGUGAAAUUCGUAGAUAUUCGGAAGAACACCAGUGGCGAAGGCGACUUACUGGUCCAUUACUGACGCUGAGGCUCGAAAGCGUGGGGGAGCAAACAGG
rnacentral:rRNA from 1 species